CUAACAUCUAGCUAUGAUCAAGCACAGUAUCUUUUCUUAUCAGUUUAAUAUUUGACAUGUCUUCAGCUUGAGGACUUUACAUUCCAUUGAUUUUAUACUAAAUUGAUUUAAAUGGAUUUUAUAUUACACCGGGAGAUAGACUAGAAGCUUGUUUUAUCCACUACACUCACUGACCUGGCAUUGUGCUGCCUCCAAAGACCAGAGACACAGCA
rfam:Caprimulgus carolinensis contig34627, whole genome shotgun sequence.